rnacentral:rRNA from 1 species
GUGAGUGNNAGGUAGGCGGAAUGCGUUGUGUAGCGGUGAAAUGCAUAGAUAUGACGCAGAACUCCGAUUGCGAAGGCAGCUUACCAACACUUUACGGACGCUGAGGCACGAAAGCGUGGGUAUCGAACAGGAUUAGAUACCCUGGUAGUCCACGCAGUAAACGAUGAAUACUAAUUGUUCGGGGGGCAACCCCUGAGUGAUACAGCGAAAGCGUUAAGUAUUCCACCUGGGGAGUACGCCGGCAACGGUGAAACUCAAAGGAAUUGACGGGGGCCCGCACAAGCGGAGGAACAUGUGGUUUAAUUCGAUGAUACGCGAGGAACCUUACCCGGGCUCAAACGUUGGGGGAAUGCUCCUGAAAGGGAGCAGCCAGCAAUGGUCGCCAACGAGGUGCUGCAUGGUUGUCGUCAGCUCGUGCCGUGAGGUGUCGGCUUAAGUGCCACAACGAGCGCAACCCCUGCGUCCAGUUACCAUCAAGUCAUGUUGGGGACUCUGGACGGACUGCCGGCGCAAGCCGUGAGGAAGGCGGGGAUGACGUCAAAUCAGCACGGCCCUUACGUCCGGGGCGACACACGUGUUACAAUGGCGUGGAACAGCGGGAAGCCACCUGGCGACAGGGAGCGGACCCCUAAAACACGUCUCAGUUCGGAUUGGAGUCUGCAACUCGACUCCAUGAAGCUGGAUUCGCUAGUAAUCGCGCAUCAGCCAUGGCGCGGUGAAUACGUUCCCGGGCCUUGUACACACCGCCCGUCAAGCCAUGGGAGCCGGNNNUGCCUGAAGUACGUAACUGGAAGGAGCGUCCAAGGGUAACACUGGUGACUGGGGAUAAGUCGUAACAAGGUAACCA